rnacentral:rRNA from 1 species
GUUGAUAGGUCAGAGCUGUAAGCAUGGUAACAUGUUCAGCUGACUGAUACUAAUAGGUCGAGGGCUUGACCAAUAA